GCCACCAUACCUCAGUGGUUAGAGUAAUUGGUUCUUGUAAACCAGGGUCGAGUUCAAUCCUCACUGGUGGCU